rnacentral:rRNA from 2 species
GAUGCUAAUACCGCAUAACAACUUGGACCGCAUGGUCCGAGUUUGAAAGAUGGCUUCGGCUAUCACUUUUGGAUGGUCCCGCGGCGUAUUAGCUAGAUGGUGGGGUAACGGCUCACCAUGGCAAUGAUACGUAGCCGACCUGAGAGGGUAAUCGGCCACAUUGGGACUGAGACACGGCCCAAACUCCUACGGGAGGCAGCAGUAGGGAAUCUUCCACAAUGGACGAAAGUCUGAUGGAGCAACGCCGCGUGAGUGAAGAAGGGUUUCGGCUCGUAAAACUCUGUUGUUAAAGAAGAACAUAUCUGAGAGUAACUGUUCAGGUAUUGACGGUAUUUAACCAGAAAGCCACGGCUAACUACGUGCCAGCAGCCGCGGUAAUACGUAGGUGGCAAGCGUUGUCCGGAUUUAUUGGGCGUAAAGCGAGCGCAGGCGGUUUUUUAAGUCUGAUGUGAAAGCCUUCGGCUCAACCGAAGAAGUGCAUCGGAAACUGGGAAACUUGAGUGCAGAAGAGGACAGUGGAACUCCAUGUGUAGCGGUGAAAUGCGUAGAUAUAUGGAAGAACACCAGUGGCGAAGGCGGCUGUCUGGUCUGUAACUGACGCUGAGGCUCGAAAGUAUGGGUAGCAAACAGGAUUAGAUACCCUGGUAGUCCAUACCGUAAACGAUGAAUGCUAAGUGUUGGAGGGUUUCCGCCCUUCAGUGCUGCAGCUAACGCAUUAAGCAUUCCGCCUGGGGAGUACGGCCGCAAGGCUGAAACUCAAAGGAAUUGACGGGGGCCCGCACAAGCGGUGGAGCAUGUGGUUUAAUUCGAAGCUACGCGAAGAACCUUACCAGGUCUUGACAUACUAUGCAAAUCUAAGAGAUUAGACGUUCCCUUCGGGGACAUGGAUACAGGUGGUGCAUGGUUGUCGUCAGCUCGUGUCGUGAGAUGUUGGGUUAAGUCCCGCAACGAGCGCAACCCUUAUUAUCAGUUGCCAGCAUUAAGUUGGGCACUCUGGUGAGACUGCCGGUGACAAACCGGAGGAAGGUGGGGAUGACGUCAAAUCAUCAUGCCCCUUAUGACCUGGGCUACACACGUGCUACAAUGGAUGGUACAACGAGUUGCGAACUCGCGAGAGUAAGCUAAUCUCUUAAAGCCAUUCUCAGUUCGGAUUGUAGGCUGCAACUCGCCUACAUGAAGUCGGAAUCGCUAGUAAUCGCGGAUCAGCAUGCCGCGGUGAAUACGUUCCCGGGCCUUGUACACACCGCCCGUCACACCAUGAGAGUUUGUAACACUCACAAAGUGCAGGUGUGGGUAACCGUUUUAGGAACCAGC